rnacentral:tRNA from 1 species
UCUACCAAAGGAUAAUAGUCUUCCACUGGUCUUAGGCACCAAAACUCUUGGUGGCAAAAACCAAGUGGUAGAA